CAGUCGCCGCGGUAAUACGGAGGGAGCUAGCGUUGUUCGGAAUUACUGGGCGUAAAGCGCACGUAGGCGGUUAUUCAAGUCAGAGGUGAAAGCCCGGGGCUCAACCCCGGAACUGCCUUUGAAACUAGAUGACUGGAAUCUUGGAGAGGUCAGUGGAAUUCCGAGUGUAGAGGUGAAAUUCGUAGAUAUUCGGAAGAACACCAGUGGCGAAGGCGACUGACUGGACAAGUAUUGACGCUGAGGUGCGAAAGCGUGGGGAGCAAACAGGAUUAGAUACCCCUGUAGUCCCUGUCUCUUAUAA
rnacentral:rRNA from 1 species